rnacentral:misc_RNA from 1 species
AAGUCGUAACAAGGUCUCCGUUGGUGAACCAGCGGAGGGAUCAUUACCGAGUUUUCAACUCCCAAACCCCUGUGAACAUACCUAUCGUUGCCUCGGCGGGAGAGCCCCGGGCGCUGGCGCAAGCCUCGCACCGGUACCAGGCGCCCGCCGGAGGACCCAACAUAAACUCCUUUGCAUUCUAGAGAAUCUUCUGAGUGAUUAUAAGCAAUAAAUUAAAACUUUCAACAACGGAUCUCUUGGUUCUG